rnacentral:rRNA from 1 species
CCUUGUACACACCGCCCGUCACACCAUGGGAGUUGGUUCUACCCGAAGACGGUGCGCCAACCGCAAGGAGGCAGCCGGCCACGGUAGGGUCAGCGACUGGGGUG